rnacentral:rRNA from 1 species
UACAGGGGGGGCAAGCGUUGUUCGGAAUUACUGGGCGUAAAGGGCUUGUAGGUGGCCAACUAAGUCCGACGUGAAAUCCCUAGGCUUAACCUAGGAACUGCGUCGGAUACUGGAUGGCUUGAAUCCGGGAGAGGGAUGCGGAAUUCCAGGUGUAGCGGUGAAAUGCGCAGAUAUCAGGAAGAACACCCGUGGCUAAGGCGGCUCUCUAGUACGUGACUGACGCUGAGACGCGAAAGCGUGGGGAGCGAACAGG